ACGCGGGCUGGGUUCAGAACGUCGUGAGACAGUUCGGUCCCUAUCCGUCGCAGGCGUAGGAAAUUUGGGAAGACCUGUCCUUAGUACGAGAGGACCGGGAUGGACGUACCUCUGGUGUACCAGUUGUUCUGCCAAGGGCAUGGCUGGGUAGCUAGGUACGGAAUGGAUAAGCGCUGAAAGCAUCUAAGCGCGAAGCCAACUUCAAGAUAAGAUUUCCCACCGCAAGGGUAAGACCCCAGAAAGACUAUCUGGUUGAUAGGUCGAAGGUGUAAGUGCAGCAAUGUAUUUAGCUUAUCGAUACUAAUAGGUCGAGGACUUGACCA
rnacentral:rRNA from 1 species